rfam:Stegodyphus mimosarum contig124759, whole genome shotgun sequence.
CAAAAGGCUCUUUUCAGAACCAAUUAUUUUUUUUUAAAUUUUCUCU